UGCACGCAGGAUUGUAAGUUGCUUUCGAUAAAAGCGUCUGCUAAAUGGCAUAUU
rfam:Salmo salar isolate Sally breed double haploid chromosome ssa10, whole genome shotgun sequence.